UUUGUAUAAUGGGUCAGCGACUUAUAUUCAGUGGCAAGGUUAACCAUCUAGGGGAGCCGUAGGGAAACCGAGUCUUAACUGGGCGUUCAGUCUCUGGAUAUAGACCCGAAACCAGGUGAUCUAGCCAUGGGCAGGUUGAAGGUUGAGUAACAUCAACUGGAGGACCGAACCGACUAAUGUUGAAAAAUUAGCGGAUGACUUGUGGCUAGGGGUGAAAGGCCAAUCAAACCUGGAGAUAGCUGGUUCUCCCCGAAAGCUAUUUAGGUAGCGCCUCGGACGAAUACUACUGGGGGUAGAGCACUGUUAAGGCUAGGGGGUCAUCCCGACUUACCAACCCUUUGCAAACUCCGAAUACCAGUAAGUACUAUCCGGGAGACACACGGCGGGUGCUAACGUCCGUCGUGGAGAGGGAAACAACCCAGACCGCCAGCUAAGGUCCCAAAUUACUACUAAGUGGGAAACGAUGUGGGAAGGCUCAGACAGCCAGGAUGUUGGCUUAGAAGCAGCCAUCAUUUAAAGAAAGCGUAAUAGCUCACUGGUCGAGUCGGCCUGCGCGGAAGAUGUAACGGGGCUAAGUAGUAAACCGAAGCUGCGGCAAUAUACUUUUGUAUAUUGGGUAGGGGAGCGUUCUGUAAGCGGUUGAAGGUGUGUGGUAACGCAUGCUGGACGUAUCAGAAGUGCGAAUGCUGACAUGAGUAACGAUAAAGGGGGUGAAAAACCUCCUCGCCGGAAGACCAAGGGUUCCUGUCCAACGUUAAUCGGGGCAGGGUAAGUCGACCCCUAAGGCGAGGCCGAAAGGCGUAGUCGAUGGGAAACGGGUUAAUAUUCCCGUACUUCUUACAAUUGCGAUGGGGGGACGGAGAAGGCUAGGUGGGCCUGGCGACGGUUGUCCAGGUUCAAGUGCGUAGGCUUAAGAGUUAGGUAAAUCCGGCUCUUUCUAAGGCUGAGACACGAUGUCGAGCACCUACGGGUGUGAAGUCAUUGAUGCCAUGCUUCCAGGAAAAGCCUCUAAGCUUCAGAUUGUAAGGAAUCGUACCCCAAACCGACACAGGUGGUCGGGUAGAGAAUACCAAGGCGCUUGAGAGAACUCGGGUGAAGGAACUAGGCAAAAUGGUACCGUAACUUCGGGAGAAGGUACGCUCUCGACGGUGAAGUCCCUCGCGGAUGGAGCUAUUGAGAGUCGCAGAUACCAGGUGGCUGCAACUGUUUAUUAAAAACACAGCACUGUGCAAAAUCGUAAGAUGACGUAUACGGUGUGACGCCUGCCCGGUGCCGGAAGGUUAAUUGAUGGGGUUAGACUUCGGUCGAAGCUCUUGAUCGAAGCCCCGGUAAACGGCGGCCGUAACUAUAACGGUCCUAAGGUAGCGAAAUUCCUUGUCGGGUAAGUUCCGACCUGCACGAAUGGCGUAAUGAUGGCCACGCUGUCUCCACCCGAGACUCAGUGAAAUUGAAAUCGCUGUGAAGAUGCAGUGUACCCGCGGCUAGACGGAAAGACCCCGUGAACCUUUACUACAGCUUGGCACUGAACAUUGACCCUACAUGUGUAGGAUAGGUGGGAGGCUUUGAAGCACGUACGCCAGUAUGUGUGGAGCCGUCCUUGAAAUACCACCCUUGUAGUGUUGAUGUUCUAACGUCGACCCCUUAUCGGGGUUGCGGACAGUGCCUGGUGGGUAGUUUGACUGGGGCGGUCUCCUCCCAAAGAGUAACGGAGGAGCACGAAGGUGGGCUAAUCACGGUUGGACAUCGUGAGGUUAGUGCAAUGGCAUAAGCCCGCUUGACUGCGAGAAUGACAAUUCGAGCAGGUGCGAAAGCAGGUCAUAGUGAUCCGGUGGUUCUGAAUGGAAGGGCCAUCGCUCAACGGAUAAAAGGUACUCCGGGGAUAACAGGCUGAUACCGCCCAAGAGUUCAUAUCGACGGCGGUGUUUGGCACCUCGAUGUCGGCUCAUCACAUCCUGGGGCUGAAGUCGGUCCCAAGGGUAUGGCUGUUCGCCAUUUAAAGUGGUACGCGAGCUGGGUUUAGAACGUCGUGAGACAGUUCGGUCCCUAUCUGCCGUGGGCGUUGGAAGAUUGAAGGGGGCUGCUCCUAGUACGAGAGGACCGGAGUGGACGAACCUCUGGUGUUCGGGUUGUGUCGCCAGACGCAUUGCCCGGUAGCUAAGUUCGGAAUCGAUAACCGCUGAAAGCAUCUAAGCGGGAAGCGAGCCCUGAGAUGAGUCUUCCCUGAUACUUUAAGUAUCCUAAAGGGUUGUCGGAGACUACGACGUUGAUAGGUCAGGUGUGUAAGUGCUGUGAGGCAUUGAGCUAACUGAUACUAAUUGCCCGUGAGGCUUAACCAUACAACAC
rnacentral:rRNA from 1 species